rnacentral:lncRNA from 1 species
CAGGAGUUAAUAUUGACCACCUCUGGGCUACCUAUUAAAGUUUCCUCACUCCUAAGCAGGAGGAAGUUAGCCAAGAUGUGUUGGUACUAGAACAAUUCUACCUCUGGUUCCCAGUGCAGAGAACUACUUGCUUCAUUCCUGUCAGCAUGGAGAAAGUGCAAAUGUUCAAAAAUGAACCAGUGUCUUAUGGUCACCAGAAAAGUAUGUAGGAACUUGCAAUCUGAGCACUGGCUCUGAGGUGUUCUUCACGACAAUCGUAUCCACAGAAGCCUAUAUCGCUUCUAAAUUCGCACAAGACAAUGCACAUUGUGGUGGUUUGAAUAUGCUUGACCCAGGGAUUGGCACUCUUUGGAGGUGCAAUGUUACUGGAGUAGGUGUGGCUUUGUUGGAGGAAGUGUGUCACUGUGGCUGUGCGCUUUAAGACCCUAGUUCUAGCUGCCUGAAAGCCAGUCUUCUAUCAGCCUUCAGAUGAAGAUAUAGAACUCUCAGCUCCUCCUGUACCAUGCAUGGGUGUUGCUAUGCUCUGCCUUGAUGAAAAUGGACUCAAUCUCUGAACCUACAAGCCAG